rnacentral:pre_miRNA from 1 species
CAGGGGAGGCCAGGUCCUGGGAUGUGUCCCCCUGGUGCCCUGGGCUCCAGGGCCUGUGCUGCUGGAAUCAUGCUCCCGGGCCCUGCAGCCCUUU